rnacentral:tRNA from 1 species
AAGGCUUUAUCUUAAUUAAAGUAUUUGAGUUGCAAUCAGAAGAUGAGGGUUAGUCCCCCUCAAGUCUUA